rnacentral:rRNA from 1 species
AAUGAACGUUGGCGGCGUGGAUUAGGCAUGCAAGUCGAGCGAGAACCCAGCAAUGGGGGACAGCGGCGAAAGGGACAGUAAUGUGUAGAUUAUCUGCCCUCGGGUCCGGGAUAGCUGCGGGAAACUGCAGGUAAUACCGGAUAACAUCCCCGGAUCAAAGGUGUGAUUCCGCCCGAGGAUGAGUCUGCAUCCUAUUAGCUUGUUGGUGGGGUAAUGGCCUACCAAGGCUUUGAUGGGUAGCGGGUGUGAGAGCACGACCCGCGUCAUUGGGACUGAGACACUGCCCAGACACCUACGGGUGGCUGCAGUCGAGAAUCUUCGGCAAUGGGCGCAAGCCUGACCGAGCGACGCCGCGUGUGGGAUGAAGGCCUUCGGUUGUAACCACUGUCAGAGGGGAGUGAAAUGCAGGUGGGUUCGUCCC